rnacentral:tRNA from 1 species
GGUACGGUAGUGUAAUGGCAACACGGCGGUCUCCAAAAUUGCAAAUGAGGGUUCGAUUCCCUCUCAUCCA